GGCUGCUAUUAUAACAUGUCCAUGUACUUCAUGAGGAUGUAAUCUCAGCCAGGUUAAUGACUUCUCUAAGUCCCAAAGUAAACACAUAGGAAGUAUCCCUAAUGUGCCAGGCACGGUCCUGCGUGUUAGGGUUGAAGAGAUGAGGAGAACAGAUGUGGUUCCUGCCCUCACAGAGUCUACAAUCCAGUGGGGAAGAGAGAUACUGAGCAGGGGCCAUGAUUGAUAUGGAGAGAACAGCUUGUGUGUAGGGGAGAUGUGUAUUUCACGAAGACUGUUCAACAUGAAAUUUACAGUCCCAUAAAGUGCUUCUACAUCUUCGCCAGAGAUCUAGUUAAAAGGACUUUACAGUCUGAAACAUCCUAAAAUUGAUUCUAAAUUAACGUUUCCUCACAUGUAUUUGAGAUAUUGAUGGGGCCCAGCUAUCAGAAUUUUAUUAGGAAGCAAUAAUCUGAGGCACACUGAGACAGACAUACAUACACACCAACCUCCACUACUCCCCAGAGGACACUGGAUAUGCGCUCUCAGGAAGGGCGUCCACGUAGCCUCAGGGAUGGAGACAACCACGAAAUCCUGUCAGCCUUAACAGCCAGGAAAGGAAAACCCACAAAUGGCAGCUUUAAAGGUCACAGCGAUUCAGGUGUCCAUCAGUGAGUAUGUGGGGCAGGCCCAUCACGUGGCACUGUGUGAGGCGCUGUGGGACAUGCGGGGAUGAAUACAGCACUGCCAGGGCCCUUGAGGAGCCCCAGAUCUUGUGACAGUGGAAGAACAUGAGACUUGGAGUCAGACUGGGAGCCAAGGAGAGAGGCCUCAGGAGAAACCAGUCCUGCAACCCCUUGAUCUCAGACACCUUGACCAGAACCUCCAGACUGUGAGAUAACCAAUAUCCAUUGUUUAAGCCACCCAACCUAUUGUGCUUUGUGAUGGCAGCCCCAGCAAACUCCUACAUCACCCUCACUUAAUUUAUCUGUUUUAGGCAGUAUUUAUUUCUUACUCUGACAGUUGAGGUAUUAGCUUUCUCGUACCAUGCUAACUUCCAUUUUUUCUUCUCCCCUUAUCCUCAUAAUAUAGUUUUCCACAAUUUAUAGUUAAAUCAAUAGUUAGUGUUUACAUUAUUGAUUAGGUAAAUAAAUACUGUCCACUCAAGCCGUAAACUACUAUUACAUUUUCUUUCCUUACAAGUUGGUUUAACCUGGAGCUAACAAUUGUUUCUUUUUUUUUUAAUUGUUUAGACUUCUGAGUACCUAGGGCUACUUUCUUCCCAAUGUUCCAAACACAUGGCAAUUUUUCCAAAUGUUCAAUCCCUAACAGAUCAGUUCCAUCUUUUCCUUGGCGACUUUUUUUUUUUUUUUUAAUGUUUAUUUAUUUUUGAGAGGGAGAGAGAACGAGCAAGCUGGGAAGGGGCAGAGAGAGAGAAGGGGACAGAAAAGCAGGCUCUGCACUGUGGGGCUCA